rnacentral:rRNA from 1 species
UACGGAGGGGGCUAGCGUUGUCCGAAGUUACUGGGCGUAAAGCGCGCGUAGGCGGGUUGGUAAGUCCGUUGUGAAAGCCCUGGGCUCAACCUGGGAAUUGCAGUGGAUACUGGCGAGCUAGAGUGCGGUAGAGGAUGGUGGAAUUCCCGGUGUAGCGGUGAAAUGCGUAGAGAUCGGGAGGAACACCCGUGGCGAAGGCGGCCAUCUGGACCAGCACUGACGCUGAGGCACGAAAGCGUGGGGAGCAAACAGG